UUAAGUUCAGCGGGUAGUCCUACCUGAUUUGAGGUCAGAUCGAAUGAAUUUGUCCCCAAAAGGACGGUUUAUGAGGCAGGGCUCAAGACCACGGAACCAGCGACGACUUAUCACGCUGAUCACUGGGUCAAGAGCCGACCACCUGUCACAUUUAAGGCGAGCCGGUUUUAACCCCGGCAGACACCCAAGUCCAAGUCCAA
rnacentral:misc_RNA from 1 species